AAUCUGAUCUCUACAGUGGAGAAUUCCAGGCUCUCCGAUGCUGCAUGCUGGGAAAUGUAGUUCGGUUCACGGCGCCACUCUAAAACCAGAAAUAUUAGCCAGCCAAUCACGGCAGCCCAGCUAUACUAGUAGCUAACCACAGCACUUCAGGCAAAUUACCGACCAAUCAAAAGCAUAGCAACAAAUCAUACGUAAUUAAAACUUCACAGCCAAUCACAGCGUCUCCUCCAUGCCACUGGCCAAUCAAUUCACAACAACACGCAUGAUGCAGUUUUGCACAGCGCAUGCGCACAGUGUGGACAGCUGAUAACUCAUCUAUUAUGCUACUUGGCUGUUAAAUAAAAAUCCAGCAGAGGAGCUUCUGGAUCCGCCGCUGGACCACCGGAGCGCCGAAAAUACAAAGUUGUGCGAUGGGACUCUGUGUCUCUGGGGGGUCCUCUGAGCUGAAGCUCCUCAACUGAACACACCUGAGCGCCUCACACACACACACACACCUGGGAGCCGCG